AGCUUUUUGAAUCUGUGAUGAGAUUUCAUCACACACCAACCCAUUGGGGCUGAUCAGACAUCCAAGGUAAGCGAAGUU
rnacentral:pre_miRNA from 1 species